rnacentral:rRNA from 1 species
UACGUAGGUGGCAAGCGUUAUCCGGAUUUAUUGGGUGUAAAGGGCGUGUAGGCGGGAAUGCAAGUCAGAUGUGAAAACUCAGGGCUCAACCCUGAGCCUGCAUUUGAAACUGUGUUUCUUGAGUGCUGGAGAGGCAAUCGGAAUUCCGUGUGUAGCGGUGAAAUGCGUAGAUAUACGGAGGAACACCAGUGGCGAAGGCGGGUUCCUGGACAUUAACUGACGCUGAGGCACGAAGGCCAGGGGAGCGAAAGGG